CAUGCAUCUCCUUCAACUCUUCCUCCAUGCUUUUGUUUCUCUCUUUCAAGGAUGCUACUUCACCCACCAAGCUGGAGACAUCACAUCCACCAUUGGAUUGACCACUAAUUUGCAAUGGAAUAGUUUCCUGUUGUCAAGAUCAUUAGCUUCUGCAACUGCUUUCUGGGCUAGUUUUUCAUUCUCCUCAACUUUUAGUGACAUCUCAGCAGAAAUACGUUUAAAGUCCUCCUGGAGUCGCUCAGUCGCCGCUGCAUUGCUCAACCUCAUUUUCCUUAAGGCAUCUUCAGCUUGUUCUCAACUUGAAACUCAAUCUCAUCAAUGAUAUUCAGGGACUCUGAGUAUUGACGCGCCUGCCUUUUGUUUUCCACUUCCAAGUUUACUAUCUGGAGUUUGAGUUUAUUCUCUACAGCCAAGAAUUCUGUACAACUUUGCUCAAGUUCCAUCUUUUCCGUAACGCUUUGUUCGAACUUGGAGCGUAUAGCCUUGUUUUCUGCCUCUAAACUAUCGUAAUCCUCAGUCUUCUAGUUCAUUACUUCUCAUUCUAGGUAAUGCUGCAAUACCCUCUGCACCAUAGUGGAGGGCCUUAAUUUUGCUUGAAAGUCGAGAUAUUUCUUCAUUUUUCUGAUCCAAUUUUUUGGGCUAUCAACCAAGUUUAUUUUAGCCAGAAAUGAUUAAUGCUGUGCAAGGGAGGGACUAACGUGCAACACUGCACCCGAUUUAGAAGUCUGUAGAGGGAGAGUUAAAUUCACUGGUUUGUAGGCAUCUGCUAGAUCUGCAAAAUCAAUUGAGACUUCUCCGAGAAAGCCCGAUUUUGAGGACCCCUGAUUUUCCCAGGUGCAGGUUCCUUCAACAAUUGGUGAUUUUGAUAAUCUGACUGUAGGCUUUCCUACAUCUACUGGAACCAGAGAAACAAUGAGGCUUUUUGAUUUGAGCUGCGGCACCUGCCAUAAUUUCAAUACAUAAGCCAAAUCAUCGAGAGGAAUGAGGGCAGAAUCAACAUUGUUCAAGAUUUCUCCGAAAUAUAAAUCUUGUAAGUUACUUUAAGUUUGAUAGACAGCACUUGUUUUUGGCAUAAACAAUGUUGACUUGACAUACCUGUGUUGCCUGAAACUGCAUCUUGAAGACUGCUUUGAUCUUUUUCUCGCUUCGCUUGAACAUUUUUCCUGGUUAUUGUGCAUCAAAAUUCGUCGGCUCUUUGUGAGGGAAGAAGAGCUGCAGUCUUUAUUUAGGUGCCAGUUAAGAGUCUAUAAAUGAUUCGGUGGUUAGAUAAAAUACUAAAAUUAGAUUUUA